CUAAAACAGUAUUUAUUUUACAAAGGCCUCUUUAAAAAUAGGAUGACAUUUUAGACAUAGGUUGUUAAAAAACGUGCAGUCCAACCCUUUCAUUGUACUGAUAAAGAAGCUUGAGUGUGUCAGGCUGAGUAUUUUCACCAAGUCUCCUGACUUUCCACUUGAGUCUCUUUCCCUGGGCCCCGUGGUUCUCAAUCUUAGCUGCUGUUACAAAGUCUUGGAGAGUUUCAAACAACCCUGUACCCUCAAGGGCUACAUCCCCAGCCAAAUAAAUCAGUAUCUCUGCAGGGGAGCCUGGGCAUCAGUAGCACCUGGACUUGCCAGGAGGUCCUAUUGUGCGGCCACGCUUGAGGAUGACUACCCGCUGCCAGGAGAUUGACUGGUUUAGUCCAUUUCUAAAAGCAUGGUAAUGUGGACAUCAAGACAUCCAUCACAAGCUCAUUAUUAUUUAUUUAUUUGUUUGUUUGAGACAGGGUCUGGCUCUGUCGCCCAGGCUGGAGUGCAGUGGCCUGAUUGUGGCUCGCUGCAAUCUCCUCCUCCUGGGCUCAAGCCAUCCUCCCACCUCAGCCUCCCGAGUAGCGGGACUCCAGAUUUUAAAUAGUAUCUAUUUUCAUGCCUCAAUUUCACAAGCAUGUACUCUGUUACUCCAAUUAACAAUGAACACUCAACAAUUUUGUUAGUGGCAUCAAUACAGUGUUCUUGUGCCACACUCCUUUGAUAGUGGCAUAUUAUUUAGCUCAGUUCUCACAUGCCACUUAUACCCUAAAGUAAAUCUCCAUGAAACAGUUUAAAAUUGCUGAGUGACAUGGUCAUUUUGCUAUAUCAGGAUUUUUUCAUUGUCUAAGUGCAGUAAUGGCAGAGAACAUUAUGCACUUUAUUGCUAUUAUGCUGAUUACAGUUGGACACUGGGUACUGUAGGAGUAGUCACUCAAAACCUCCAUUAUGAUGAAUUGAUCUAUUAUCUCUAUUUAUUAGGUCAUAGGAGCUGGUUAACGUCGCUGAGUUUUAGCUCUGGCUGGCAGAAAGCAUACUCACUGUUCAUUAUGGUUAUCAGGGAAGAACAAGAAAAAUCACUAUAUAUUGUCACUCCUUGGGGGCAGGUGGCAGUGAAGGAAAAAUCCCACAACAGCCUUGGAAUACCAGAGCUCCUGACCGUGGGUUAGAAUGGUCUUUUAUUAUGAAGGACAACCCAUUGAAUUUGAGAAGUCUACAGUGAAAGCAAAAUGUGUUCUUAAAAUGCAAUACUAUCUCGAGGCAGUUUAAAUUCUAACAAUAGGAGCCUACAUACCAGAUGGCUUUGAAAUAUUUACAGGUCCUCUUUGCCUGAAUUUUUAGUUAUCCAGGAACAACCAUUAUAACUUAUACCUUGCCACUAAAAGUAAGCUUUAUUUAUUCAGAAAAAAAGGUAACAAUUUUUCAU
rnacentral:lncRNA from 1 species